GGGAAGGUGGCUCAGUGGUAGAGUGCUUGCCUAAUAUGCAUGAAGCCCCAGGUUCAAUUCCUCAGUACCA
rnacentral:tRNA from 1 species